rnacentral:lncRNA from 1 species
ACAAUGGGUUGGACCAUGACAUCAUGCCGAACUGAAGCUGCUCUCGGGAACUUCUGUAGAUUAGCAGAAGGCUGAAAUAUAACAUGAAGAAAUUACAGUGACUGCAUUACUGGAGAUGAUGAUAGCAGUCAUGGGACAACUUAAAGUCUCUAGAUAACAUAUGCAUAAGAAAGAAUGGAUUCAAGAAAAUUGAAGAUAACUUAUUCUGAACCCAGUCAUAUGAAUUCUUCCAUGAUAGGACUAAAGAGACAAGAAUUUCACAACCAGACUGAGAGUAUGAACAGAAGGUGUUUGUCAAAGGCUGAGGUUCCCAAUAAUCUAAGUUCAGUUACUUUAACACUUGGACUGAAUAUAGAGAUAAGUAAACCAAUAGUUUUGUGUCCUUCUUUGUCAGUGACUAUAAUCAGUAACCAACACUGCUGUUUGUGGACAUUUGUUGCUGCAACAAUUGCCAGAAAGCUUGUGGCAACUAAGUAUCUAUCUAUCAAUAAUUAAUCUGACACAGAACUGUCAAUUCUAGAAGGACCCUUCUUAUCUACCAGUGAUUCCUACUUGAGCAGAAAACACAACUAGAGCAUUGAUAGCAUACUAGGCGAGAGUUCCCUGCGCACUGCCUAAAGAAUUUGAUGCAGACAUUCCAUUAAGGACUGUGUUCUGAGGUCUCUCAAAGCCUGGUUGUGGAUCUCUGUAUUUGUUCCCCUCUGCUCUGGAAGGAAGCUUCUCUGAUAAUGGCUAAGCAAGACACUUAUCUAUGAGAAUUGCUGAACGUCAUCAGAAGUCAAUUACCUAUAUUUUGAAAACUGUGUAAUUGUUCUUACCCUAUGUCUCUUUGCUAUUUUGUCUGUUUUUUGAGUACUCAGGCAGUGCUGCGUGCAGAUUACAUCUCCUAUGUUGGACAUUCAAUUAAAUCAGGUAUUGUUACUUCCACAAGCUUUGUGCCACCAUUGCCCUAGCAUAUCUUGCAGGAAAAUCAAAGAGUUUAUAACUGGUUUGGUAAUUAAGAUACUUCUUGGGAAUCAGAGUACUUUCUGUAGUAAAGAGGCAACUAUGUAGAGCUGAAGGCUCUAGGUAGACACCAGUAUAACUAUCUGUUCCAUUUCACUUUCUUAGGGAGGUCUAAUUGCCCCUUUUGUUCCCUUACUCUAUACAUUACUUCUAUGGUUCAAUAACCCAUUGAUUACUAUUGACUUAUUAGCU